UGUUUGCGAUUGUAACGAAUUAUUUGGACUUGUAAUUUAUUAAUUUAGUCUACGAUACCCUUGGUAGAACAAUCAAAUCAGGUCAAGAAAAGGACUUGUUGCUUUUUGAUUAUUUGUUUAAAAAAUGUCCGUGAAAAUUAUAAGUAAUUGGUCCUUACCGGAUAGUGCAUUUUUUCCGUACUCAUUACACAGUAUCGGUGACAACGGCAAAAUGGUUCUAAUUGUGCCCGGUGAGGGGCAAAUAUUUACCCUAGUGAUAAAAAAUUUGCAACAGAACAUCCAAUCCGGCGGAAGUCCUCAUAAAAUUUCCCGUAUCAAACUGGCCGAAUCCGAUAGUAGUUUGGCGGAAACCGUUGUCACUUCCACGAAUACCGUCAGUUGUAAGGACAAUGGAGAAUUAGUAGUGUUUAGUUCCUUUCGUGAAUGCACUGCCGUUGAAGGAAUAAGCGGAGUAAAAGCGAUCAGCACAAUGGAAAGUGGUAAAAAAAUACUACUGAUUCGGCUGAUUGGUGGACGAACCUUACAGCUGGAAGUGUUUGAUGAUCUGUCCGGAUGUCAAAUAGGCGAUUGUCUUAAAUCGUUCGACCUGUCUUGGGAAAAGAAUGAAUUCGAUACAAGCAGAUACAGUCAAGUUCAUAAAAUGAAAACGAUUGUUAUAGACCGAGUGAAUUCCAAAUUUUUCAAGAGAUUUUUAAACUUUAGGGAUUUGCUGGAAGGAACCGAACCAAUUUUAUUCACCAUGGACAAUGGACUGUAUUGGUUGAAAACCUUGGACGGCAGCUAUGAAAUAGUUACGGUUAAGCUAUAUCCGUCCCUAAUCCUGGAUUUCAAUUUUGCUUCGAGUACCGGGUGCUUCUCCGUUUUACUAGCAAACGCUGUGAUGCACAUUUAUUCAAUUUCGGAGGAUACUGAAAGCUUGCUGAUUCAGGAGGAUAGUAGGCAUUUGGGACCUACCAUAGAUUCCCAUAUUUUCAUAACUGAACUCAGUACUUUGCUCUACUCAAGCGGCUCCCAAAUAACACAGAUGCGGUACUAUUACUCUGAAAUCAACAAAACUAUCCAACACGUUGCCAAGGAUAUCCCCAUCAUUGGAGUUACCGGGAUCACGUAUCUACAGUUUGCAGAAAUGGCCAUAUGUGUAACGGAAAAUCGACAGUUCUACUCAGUUCCAAUCACUCAGUUGACGGACUUCAAUGGCAAUCAGCAGAACGACUACUUCGAAGUAACCAGCGAAAUACUCUCACAGGCGAACCAAAUGACCUGUUUUCUUACCAAUGAAGUAAACGUCGAAAGCAGGAUGGCAAAAGCGAUCGAACAAGAGCGACUGAAAGUUGACAUUCUGACCAGCGCCAUCAAUCAAAAUGUGUAUACAAAUUUCUUCGCAGCAGAUUUAAAAUAUCACAAACAUCUGCCACAUCGAUGUUACAGCACUCUUAUUUUGGGUGAAUCUAAUGGUAGCAACAUUUUUGUACAGAUAGAUGUUUUAUUUAGAAAUGGUAUCAAAGAGGUAAUGAUGCAUCAGAAAAACUGGAUGUUGAUCCUAUCGAUAGAUAAUGUAGUGACGCAGAUUCCUCUCGCCAAAGUGAAUUAUCUUGCAGACAAUACCGUUCGACUGCUGGUUACAAUUGACGAAUAUCGCUUCCAAAAGCUAGGUUUUCCGCGUAUUGAAACCAGCAUGUCCGUUAGAAUUACCCACUGCCAUGACAGCAUCGAACUGGAUAUUCCAAUAAAAAUUCAGAGCCUUGACGAUAUAGCAGAACUAUUUGAAGCCAGUUCGUAUGAACCCAACACUGCUGCGGUACAGGAGAGCCAUUUAUCAACUGUGGCAGGUGAUUUAGUUCGUCAUUGUGAAUACCUGCCGCUUAUUGCAUCACACAACAUCUAUUUCAACCUUCGGGGAUUGAAAGAUGUUCCGCAUGUUGGCAAACUGCUAAGUAUACUAGAGAUUGCGAUAAUUCCUAACAAAAAUGAUGAAACAUUAGAAAAAGCUUACAUUAGACUUGGGAAUCAAAUAUGCGAAGUACAGCGGAGUGACCAGGACGAGUUCCGGUUCAUAUCGAAUUCCCCAGGAAUGUUGUUCCUGCUGAAAGUGUUGUGCAGUAGGAAUUGCCAAAAAAUAAGUGUUAACGCAGACAAGCUAAAGGCCUUCCGUCUUAAACUGGCGCAAUGUGAAACUGAACGGGAACAUAUCGUGUCCUACUACCGACAAAUCAGGACAACUUUUGACACAUGGCGAUAAAGGCAUAGAAAAAAGCUUCACCUUCUAACCGCAUAUUCACGUAUUUGCGGGUGUUUGUCUGAUGUCUGAUAAACCUGUAUUCGCUGAUUUAGCAUAAUGUUGACAGACGCACUCACCCCGUUUCCCUCCCUCGUAUUGCGCAAAGCUGGAGAAAGUGGAGAGGUGAAACGGAG